GACGAACCGUGCGAACGUUGUUCGGAAUCACUGGGCUUAAAGGGCGCGUAGGCGGGCUCACAAGUCAGGGGUGAAAUCCCACGGCUCAACCGUGGAAGUGCCUUGGAUACUGGCGGCCUGGAGGGAGGCAGGGGCGGAUGGAACUUCCGGUGGAGCGGUGAAAUGCGUUGAUAUCAGGAAGAACACCCGUGGCUAAGGCGGCUCUCUAGUACGGUACUGACGCUGAGACGCGAAAGCGUGGGGAGCGAACAGG
rnacentral:rRNA from 1 species